GCCUUUUUCUUCUGUGUUGGGGGGUGUGGGGCAGAGAGAGGAGGGGGUCUGGAGGAAGCCCCUGCCCACUUGCAGAGCCUAUCAGGUGUCCACAUGCCCUCAGGGCUUACCUUCAUGGUAGGUUGGCUUCAGGUUCCCAGUGGGGCCGUGUCGUGAGGCCCUGGUCGGUGGCCAGAAGGAAGGGCAGGGCCAGACUGUCUCCCUCUCUCUGCCUGCCGGCUCCCUGGGCCUCCUCUGCCUGGUGGGCCAGCGCUGGUCCCCACAGGUCGUGGUGAAGUGGAAGGGGUGACCCAGGCUGGGCCCAGUGAGCCCCGGGUCCCGAGAGUGUUGUUGUUUCUGCCAAGAGCAAGGGCCAUCUGACGGCUCGCAACCCUGCCUUGAGUGUGAGUGUCCGUCACCGUCACCGUCAUUCUACCAGCCUGACAGCCAGGGCCACUGCAUGGGUCCUAGGAGCUUUCCUCUAGGAGUUGGACAUUGGUGAUAAGUUUAUGAGGCAGUGCUGAGCCUCACAGAGGUACGGGGUGGAGUGUCCCCUUCCUGUGCCCAGCUGAGCCCACUUGUGGGGAGCGCCUGGCCAACCUCAUACUUGUGCUGACCAGGACCUGCUUCUCGGGGUGACCCAGACCGUGGGUGGGCAGUGGGACAGGGAUGGGCUCUCCCAGCGGCAGAACUCCUGGUGUAGAUGUCCAGGCCUAGGUCCCUGCAGAAUCUGUACUUGGCCGGGUCCCCCGACUUCACGUGCAGGUUACGUUUGCCAAGCACAGGCUCACAGCACACCUAGAGACCAGCAAACCUGAAAGACCCCCCCCCCCAGCCCGCCAGCUCCAGUUCCGUUUGGGGGGUGGCAGUUGUAAAACGUAUGAUUUUUAUCUUGACAG